rnacentral:lncRNA from 1 species
CCGCCCUCCUCUUCCCACCCGCGCCCGCACCGCCCGGGCUCGCUCGGGCUGGGAUUCCCCGGCGCCCCGCCCUAGACCUCGGGCUCCCCGCCUCGCAAUGCCGUCCUCCCGCUGCGCUCCCGCCCGCAGAGGCCGGGAGAGGUCCCGGGGCGGGGAUGCGAGGACCGGGGAGCCCCGGUUGGAGGGGGGAGCACAGCCCCGCGGCCGGGGUGCCUGCUCCCGCGUCCCUCCCCGAGCCAUUGGGAUGACUUGGGCAGCCCCCAAGGGUCCUUUUAACAGCCCCCAAAGUGAGGCGACAGGAGGGUAAGGAAGGGUGAGGACUGGAGUGCGGGAUUUGAGGGGCAGGGACAGACGGCGUUGGGAGAGCUUUUUCCAGAAACUAUCCGGAACCCAUCUCGGUUUCUGAGACCGCCCCAAAGGAUUUCUUAGAGAAGGCACCCCAGCAAUCGGUUUUCUAGUCUACUUUGCUCUUCCUCUCCCGGUGCUGACAUUCACGUACCGCGUGCUCUGAAGGCGGCCACACACCCCAGCAACCAGCCUCGGGGCCUCGCUGCCGCCCGCCCUCCCGCGGAGGGGAGCGGCCCUACCCCCGCUUUCUGGGGCGUCAGUCCUAAGAGGGCGCCUACGUGCAGUGCGCCUGGACCCUCUCGUGACGCUCCCUGUAGAGUGGGGUGAAAGUCUGGGGAGAAUCGCCCUGCCACUGGCAAGAACAGAAUUUCCCGUUGCCUUCGUCUGCAUCUCCUUUUUUAAGGUCUUGAUUUCCCCCGUGCACCCCCGAGUCGGCUGCAGCACCGGCCCUUGGAGCUUGAAGAGCCCCGAACUGCCUCGCGCUCUGGUCGAUGCCCAGGGAGUGGGUUCCACCUUGCCAGAGACUAUUUUAAACUGCUACCCGCAAUUCACACGACAUCCGACACCGGCAGCCCAGCCCACGCAGUGCCCGCCAGAGGCGAAACAGUGGGUGGAGAUCAGCUUCCUGACCGUGACCUGUCUCUGGUGGAGUAAGAAGAAUCAAGCCAAGAGGGUUGGUUCAUGGUUG